UACGUAGGGUGCGAGCGUUAAUCGGAAUUACUGGGCGUAAAGCGUGCGCAGGCGGUUCGUUGUGUCGGUGGUGAAAGCCCCGGGCUUAACCUGGGAAUGGCCAUGGAAACUGGCGAACUGGAGUGUGGCAGAGGGGGGUGGAAUUCCGCGUGUAGCAGUGAAAUGCGUAGAGAUGCGGAGGAACACCGAUGGCGAAGGCGGCAUCCUGGACCGGCAUUGACGCUGAGGAGCGAAAGCCAGGGGAGCAAACGGG
rnacentral:rRNA from 1 species